CUUCUUUGUGACCAAUAUGACUUGCUCAUUGAUACAUUUGCUAUGUCAAUAUGAGGUGCAUGGCAAAGUAUUUAAUUUAUUUGUCUCGCUUCUAGGAGCUGUAGAAACAACAGGGUGUUCUUUUUCAGGGUAUUCUUUUUUAUAGAACUGGACAGGUCAUUUAUUCGUUACCCUUGUUUUUGAAGUGUCCUGCAGGAUGCUGUGUCCUGCAAUCCUGUGUGCUGUGCUACAGACGCGUGUGGAGGUCAACCCAAAAUGGGCACAGUCUCACCGCAGAAGAGUGAAAGAGGAUCCUGGCAGGGAGACGGUAGUGUCCUGCAGAAUGGUGAUGGGCCAAUCUUACAAGAGACCACAGAAAACUGAUAUAGUGAACUAUAGAAACAACAGUGCCUGCUGCAGUAUAAUGAGGACACCCUGAGCAGAGAGCUCCAAUAGACCCAGGUCCAGUGUCUUGGCAGGGUGAAAUGGCACUGAUAUGGUGUCCUGCAGGAUGCUGUGUCCUGCAAUCCUGUGUGCUGUGCUACAGACGCGUGUGGAGGUCAACCCAAAAUGGGCACAGUCUCACCGCAGAAGAGGGUAAGCUUAACCUAUAGCCUACGUCAGUGGUGGGGAACCUUUCUCAUUCGAAGGGCCAAUUCAAAUUCAUCCGAGGGGCCGUAAAAGUUCUCCAAGGGCCGUACUAUGAACACAAACCAGGAUUUUCCCCUUCACUUUAGACCUAUAUUGAAGGCAGCCACAUUUAAACAAACACCACCUUCUUCAGCUUCCCUGAAUAUAACUUAAUUGUAUUGCAAAUGUAUUUUCUAAGGUUCCUUUACAAAAUAUGUCAUAUUUUAUGUGAAGAUGAAUAACAUUAAAAUUAUAUCGGGGACCAGAUAAAACGGCCUCAAGGGUCGCAAACGGCCCUCAAGACAUAGGUUCCCCACCCCUGGCCUACAUUGGCAAUAUGACUUGUGCUACUUUAUAGAUACGUUCUCAAUGCUGUGCAUUGCUAUGUUUUGAUUUAUUUUCUUACAUCCUACAUAUCCUGGCAGGGAGACAUAGUGCAUGAGACCAUAGAAGACUGAAAUAGGACAUUAUCCCUGUUGGGCUCAAUAUGACUUGCUUAUUGAUAUAUUUGCUAUGUCAAUAUGAGGUGCAUGGUGAAGUAUUAAUUUAUUUGUUGUUUCUACAGCUCCCAGAAGUGAGACUGAGUGCCUGUUGCAGUAUGACAAGGACGCAGUGACCAGAGACCUUCAGUAGACCCUGGCUGAAGAACAUGAAAUCAACUGCAAUGUUUAUAAUGUUGUACAUACCUGUAUAGUCUGUAUUAAAAGGCAGUACCUGUAGUAUUUUUCCUCUUACUUUCAUAUUUACCACAUAUUUACUAUGAAUUGACAACUUUUACUAAAAUCCAUUUUUGUACUAUCCU